AACGAACGCUGGCGGUAUGCUUAACACAUGCAAGUCGAACGGGUGUAGCAAUACAUCAGUGGCAAACGGGUGAGGAAUAUAAAGGAAUCUCUCUAACAGUACGGAAUAACUCUGGGAAACCAGUGCUAAUACCGUAUAUUCCCUUCGGGGGAAAGAUUUAUCGCUGUUAGAUGAGCCUUUAUCGGAUUAGCUAGUUGGUAGGGUAAAGGCCUACCAAGGCAAUGAUCCGUAGCUGGUCUGAGAGGAUGAUCAGCCACACUGGAACUGAGACACGGGCCAGACUCCUACGGGAGGCAGCAGUGGGGAAUAUUGGACAAUGGGCGCAAGCCUGAUCCAGCAAUACCGCGUGAGUGAUGAAGGUCUUCGGAUUGUAAAGCUCUUUUAGUGGGGAAGAAAAUGACGGUACCCACAGAAAAAGCACCGGCAAACUUCGUGCCAGCAGCCGCAGUAA
rnacentral:rRNA from 1 species